CAGUAGCCGCGGUAAUACAGAGGGUGCGAGCGUUAAUCGGAUUUACUGGGCGUAAAGCGUGCGUAGGCGGCUUCUUAAGUCGGAUGUGAAAUCCCUGAGCUUAACUUAGGAAUUGCAUUCGAUACUGGGAAGCUAGAGUAUGGGAGAGGAUGGUAGAAUUCCAGGUGUAGCGGUGAAAUGCGUAGAGAUCUGGAGGAAUACCGAUGGCGAAGGCAGCCAUCUGGCCUAAUACUGACGCUGAGGUACGAAAGCAUGGUGAGCAAACAGGAUUAGAGACCCCCGUAGUCCCUGUCUCUUAUAC
rnacentral:rRNA from 1 species